GACGAACGCUGGCGGCGUGCUUAACACAUGCAAGUCGAACGAUGAAACCUAGCUUGCUAGGUCGAUUAGUGGCGAACGGGUGAGUAACACGUGACUAACCUGCCCCUUUCUCUGGGAUAACGCUCCGAAAGGAGUGCUAAUACCGGAUACUCACAUCGAGGCACAUGCCUUGGUGUGGAAAGUUUUUCGGAAAGGGAUGGAGUCGCGGCCUAUCAGCUUGUUGGUGAGGUAAUGGCUCACCAAGGCGACGACGGGUAGCCGGCCUGAGAGGGCGACCGGCCACACUGGGACUGAGACACGGCCCAGACUCCUACGGGAGGCAGCAGUGGGGAAUAUUGCACAAUGGGCGCAAGCCUGAUGCAGCGACGCCGCGUGAGGGAUGAAGGUCUUCGGAUUGUAAACCUCUUUCAGUAGGGACGAAGCGAAAGUGACGGUACCUAAAGAAAAAGCACCGGCUAACUACGUGCCAGCCGCCGCAGUAA
rnacentral:rRNA from 1 species